rnacentral:lncRNA from 1 species
CCACCAAAAAAAGCAGCUCCGGUUGCCCCUAGCCAAACUGCCAGGUGUGGGAGUUGUAAUUUUUCUUCUUUCCCCCCCAUUCCUUCUCCUCUCCCCCCGCCCCCCAAGCAGUUCCCUUUGUGCUGCGACCCUGCCUUCCCACUCCCCCCCGCCACACCGUCUGCUCCCUCCACCGCACUCCCACCCCACCCCGCCUUUCCCAUCCCCGCCAGAGAGACCACACAACAUUAUGGUUUCAUGCAGCAGAGAGAGCUUCCAUGGCAUGCACAGCUCUUAUAUACCCUGUUCAAAAGACUCUGUGUUUGAACCGGACUGGCUACGAAUGCUAACCACCCAGUUCACUUGGUGAAUAGCUACCUGCUAACCUUCACCAUCAGGGGCUGGCUGGCAUCUCCUUUCUGUAGCUAAACUCCUCCUCCUUUCAGGCUCACAGACCAGCUGUUUUGCCAUCAUAGUUCCCCCUUUCUGUUAUAAAAUAUAAACCCCAUGUUUAUCAUCCCUCUGUGGGGCCCCUUGCAAGAAGGACAACAAGCACGGUACAAGGAGAAUUAAAUUCUUCACUAAGUUCCACAAGCCUAAUCUUUCUAAUUAUUGGUGUGCCCCAUCAAAAUUUUUACUGUUACGUCCAGGAGCUAUCAAAGGCACAGUUUUACUGGGUGGCAUGCUGCAGACUAAUUACUUAAAACUUACACCUUACAACUUGAAUGCGGGUUACAAACAAACCAGUUUAAAAACUAUCAACACAAGAGGAAGUAAAACAUAAAUAUGGAUCUAUAAAACUUCUCUUAACAUAUUCAUAAUAUUUGCCUUUUAAUUGUGAGAGUCAACCAUUGCAUUACUCAUCUAUCACUCUUGGGACACUUCACCAGCGUCUGCUCAGCAGAUGGAGCAUGUGUGCAAGAGAGGGGGACCAGAGGAGUUGAACCUCUGGGCAAGACCACACUCCUUCCAAGAAACAAAAAAAGCCAGCAGGGCAAAUUGUGUCACAGUUAAAUGCUUUUAUGUGCUAAGGUUCCUUCCAUAGCCUGGGCAUUUUUUGCCAGGCAUCUGGGGCUCUGUCCCACCACAAGGAGGGUUUCAGUCAGUCGGUCACUCAUGUGCUUGCAGCCAGUUCAUGGAAGAUUUCUCUGCUCUGUUUGUCUGUCAGGCUAAGUCCCCUCAGAGAUAGGGCUUCCCGCCAUUUUCCAAAGGGUUUGCCUGUUUAGAGACUGUAAUAUCAGCAGUCUCCUUCCCCCUCACAUGUCCCAGAUGCCUCUUGCAUGUGGCAGGUGUUAAUGCUCCCCGCAUGUGUACGGCCCCUUUAGUAUUUUUCACCCUGAUGUCUUGUGAAGGCUGACCUAGAACAGAGGCUAGAUGGAGUUAAAGAAUAAAGUAGGUAUUUAUUAAAAGGCCUCAAUAGAUACACCUUGGGCAGCAUAAGAGCCCAGCCAGGGCUACACCCCAGGUGAACCCAAAAUGGUCAUAAAAUGGAUGACCAGUCAUGGAGUCUCUCACUUUUAUAAGUUCUGGUCUAUUAGCAUAUUGUAGCUAAUUGUCCAGUUACAGCUCCAGACCAUGAAGUUCCAUCCUCCUUGUUUUUCUCUUUUCAAUCCAUAUUCUUUAUGCUCUUAGGUCUGAGAUCUGGAUCUGCUGUCCUUGGUCUCAGCUAGAGAAGGAAUUGUUUUGUCUACCUAUUCUGUGAAGAGAGAAUUAUAUGAAGCCCACACCCACACACUAAAGCAGCACAGAAUCUGAAAAAUAUAAAAGCUAAAACCUGAAGCAUCAACCCCAUGUCAGAAAAUGGAUAUAUAACAUAUGUUGAGGCAUAAAUAAAAAUUAAAUUGGUUUGUCUCAGUAAACCACAAGCAAACCAUGCUGUUUCAACAAACUGUUUAAUUACCUGUAGUUCAAGCAAGUAGCAGGAAUAACUCCAGCAUAGAAACCUACAGUUUUAGUCCUUUUCCCCCUCCAGUAAAGCUGGAAGAGGCAAAAUCUCCUGCAACAUCCCAAAUAAAGGAGUAACACCCAGAAUGCAGGAGGAUCCAAUUACCCAUGGUGAUGCCUUCACAGCCUCCAUUUUCUGCAGCAGGUGAGCAGGACAAGAAAAGCACACAACCAAGUAAUGCCUUUCUGAAGAACAGAAUUAUCUGUGUCACAGCAGGGAUGGCACUCCACUGAAAUGUGCCAACCCAUGGGCAACACACAAAGCGAGCUCCAAUGUCCUUUAACAUAAAAUUCCUUCUGUCCUUGUUUGUCCCCUCAUCCUCUAUAUGCCUCUGUCCUCUCAGCUCUCCUCUCACUCUUUGCUAACCACCCACAGGGAGAAAACAGCACCUACACUCAGUGAUUGCAGCCACAAAAGUACUGUAGAGCUGCAUCAUAUAUUUGCUUAUACGCUGCCAAGCAUUACAAGUAACUUAGUUUAGCUACUAAUUUCUUCAUCCAUCACUCAGCUGGAACUGUGUGUUUCUCCCAUAUGCCUGGUAAAGCAGAAGUUGGGGUGGCUAAUUGGCUCAAAUUUUUUGACAGAAACAGCUCACCAGGUGGGUAAAAGAAUCACGGCACAUUCUUCUCUGGGUUGGAAUUCUUUGUCUUUGUUUUGAGUUUUUUGUGGUUUUUUUCUUUCCCAGAAAAACAGAUUUUAAAAAGUAGUAUCACAACAUCAAAGCCUGUUGCACAGACAUAAGAAAUCUUGAUUGAAGUAUUUCACUCUGAUUUUCCAAGUGCUGAGUACCAGCUUGCAGUUUGAAUUAUGAUUUUUAGUUGCAAUUGUCUUAUGUUUUGAAGAAGGAAAUGAAAAUAAAAUUGAAAUUCUGUACCUACAUCAACACAGGCAAAAAAGUAAACCUGAAAUUGUUAGAUGGACUUCAUCAUCUGCAGAAUUUUCAGCUUUGUGAACAGCUGCCAGCAGCAACAGGCUGUCACCCUUCAGAGAGGUGAACUAGAGGGACUAAAUGGCACUGGAGGGAGGUGAAAAUCCUUGCCAGCUGUUUUCACAGAUAACUGCUGACAGCAAAGGAGCAAUGUGCAGUUUGGAUAAAUUCUGGAAUCUUAAGCUUUGCUCUGGCCUGUGAGGUGUAUUUUCAAGACCAAACCUUUCCUCUGAUCUCCUUUAGUCUUGCAUUAUGUCUAUUCUCUGCUGUGGCAUUGCUCUCCUUAAUGAUCCAUCUCAAAAUUAUCUUUCAACAUUUUCCAUGGUUCAUCACAGCUUUUGUGUAGCAACUCAAAAAUUCUCUUUUUGAAAGUGAAGGACAGGAAAAUUUUAAUUUAUAUGGUAUUCAGACUCCAUACUAACAAGACUGAGUCAACAAUGGCCAGACCUCUGCGAAUUGCAAAAUAUCACUGUUGUUACUCUAAGAUAUUUAAGUGCUGAAGCAGACUGUGCUGUGCUGCAUGCCUUUUUUUUUUUUUUUUUUUUUUUUUUUAAUUAAGAAAACCUAAACAAUACAAAAGCAAAAAAAGAAGAACUCUGGCAUAAAGCACAUCUACAGGCUGUUUUGGGAUUCUCACAAUUUUUUGAAAGUGAAAGGAUGAAAAAACCCUACAUUUUGGAAACCAUAGUUUGUGAUUCAGUCAUUAAGGCAGCUGUUCCAGGGGGCUAACAUAUUUUGCCAUGUACCAGAGCAGUUCCAGAGAUAAAGAGCCAUUCAGAAAAGCCUACCAUUUGAGAAACUACUGUUAGAUGCAGUUAAAAUAGCUUCUUUUACUAGUAAUUUGUGAAAAUGAAGAAAUAGAAAAUUUAAGUGCAUACAUCCAUCACAGCAUUUUUAAUCUACAAGAUAAAUAUAGACUCUUAUCCAACAAAAUAUUAGUCUAAGAUUUUUAUUCCAGUAGCUUGGUCUACAAAAACUGCUUUUAAUCACAGAGGCUUUAUCCUUUAAGCAGAAGGCUGUGGUUUGUCUUCUUGAAGCUCAGGAGCCUGCUUUUGCCUUUGCAUUAUUCCAGUUAUUCCUAAGUAGAUCCAGGAGCAACAGGCUAUAUCUUUGUUGGAACACUAUUAUAAUUUGCUUUAUGAUGGGGGAAGGAGCAUGUGUUGCUUUGUGCUGUGGGUAGGAAUGUCAUUAAUGCUGUCGUUUCCCUUUCAACAUUUUCCAAACUUCUUCUUGAAGAGAAAAGAGUCAGACACACCUUAUGCAACACACUUUCUAUAUAAAUAGUACAUAAUAUACCUUAUUUGGCUCUGGUUUAGAAUCAUUGCCAUUCUGUGAUGGCUGAAAUGGGGUCUCAGAUGCAUGCUCAUGCAUGUAGCACAUGAAGGUUGGGAGCACAGUGGCAUUCAAACCUGUUAUUCAUAAUAAAUGUAAUUUUUGUGAAGCUAAUACUGAGAAAACAAGGCCAUUUAGCUGUUUGGUUCUUUCUUAGUCCCUAAGAAUGCCUGUCCAUUUGAACACCUGUUGAAUAGCCCUUCACAGGGAUUUUGCUCUCUGUGUGCAAGUGGUUAGAGACAGGCUUUGCCAUGGCCUAAAGGGCUUGUAAUUUGUACCAGUUUGAAAGCUUCUACCAAACUUUUGUGUUGUUACACUACCAGUAUAUGCCACUGCCAAGACAGAGCAACACAGAAAGACCACAGCAAGCUGAACGAGAUUUGGGAGGAGCAGAGCCCAGCACACCCAAGGCAGGAGCCAGCCACCACUUAUAAAGUACCUAUGGCUACUACCUGCAAACAGGUUUUCUUCCCGAAGCAGGAGCCUUAAAAUGUUUACUCCUAGAUGUUACUGUGCAAGGAGUGGUAUCAUCUGAAAUAUUUAUGCAGGGGGAAAAUUAGGUCAUGCACAGCCAGAUGUCUUAUGCUUACAAUCACAAAUCCAAACUCAGGAGCAAACACGUUGUUAUUUUCCCUGUGAUCCAAUUUUAAAAUGCUAACAUGUAGUUUUGUAAUAUUUUGACUUGAUUUUAAAACCUUUUGUUUACAUUUUAGCAUGGAAUGUUACAAAGGUAUAACUACACACAAUAGUUUGGACCAAAAGUAAGGAAUCAAUGUACAUAUCAGGACAACAAUGACAUAGAAGGAGUUCAUAUGGCAUGGUUUAGUUAAGUCUACUGCUUCUCUUAGCACAUGUAUUUAGGACAUGCUGAGUGGCUUGACUGGAAGCUACUCUCUACAGCAGAGUUGUUAGUCACAGAAGCAUUUCUCUAGGCAAUGCAAAUCAUCUCUUGCAGCACUGAAUACUGGCCAUAAUGGCCAAUGUGUGGGUGGGACAAACUGCAGAGUUUCUUUUAUGUCUUCAAGGAAGAGUAUGAGGUUUCACACCGGAAUCAGCUGGUUGAUUGCCACAAAUAUUUGCAUUAAACUUUCCAAAGGUGUCCACUCUGCUUA